GGGAAACUGAAACUGUGAGAGGGACGUGCAAAUGGUCCCACAAUUGGCAAAUAUCCAAAUCCAGAUUAGAAUCCCUGGUCCUUUGAUUUGAAUUCCACUGUUCAAAUACACUAUAAUUUGAACCUCAGUGAUUGUGUUGCCCUUAAUAUUUGGAAUAUGAAGAAUAUGAAACAACUUCAUGAUUAGUGUAUCUGCAUGGCUAUUCACCCAACUCCGGUGGCAAGACCAAAGGAUGACUGGCAACAGCUCAGGAUGCUUUAGAUGAAAUUAUUGUCUUCAAUGUCUAACCAAGCUUUAAAUACUCCACAUUAUGAUAUAUGCUAAGAAUAUAAAAUAGGUAUGGACCACCAUCCAUGACUAAUUAUAUUGCCUCUUUAUAAAAUUUAACUUGGCAUUUAAAUCCUUUAAGAAUCUUUCUGUAGCCUCUACUUCCAAGUUUAUAUAUGUCAUUUCCCGUCAUCAACCUUACUUCCAAUAAAAUUUGCCUUAGUGCAUC